GAUGAACGCUGGCGGCGUGCCUAAUACAUGCAAGUCGAGCGAACAGACGAUGAUCUUGCUCCUCUCACGUUUGCCGCGCACGUGUGAGUAACGCGUGUAUACUCUACCUAUCUGACUGGUAUAACUUCGGGAAACCGGAUCUAAUACCGUAUAAUCUCUUGAACCGCGGGGUUCAAUAGUGAAAGACGGUGUUGCUGUCACGUAUAGCUGCAUCCGGGCGGCAUUAGCUAGUUGGUAAGGUAACGGCUUACCAAGGCAACGAUGCGUAGACGACGUGAGAGGGUGAUCGGCGACACUGGAACUGAGCCGCGGACCAGACUACUACGGGAGGCCGCAGUAGGGAACCGUCCGCAAUGGGCGAAAGCCUGACGGAGCAACGCGGCGUGAGUGAUGACGGUCUUCGGAUCGUAAAACUGUGUUAUGAGGGAAGAACAACUGUGUCAGUAACUAUGCACGUAUUGACGGUACCGAAUAAGAAAGCCACGGCUAACUACGUG
rnacentral:rRNA from 1 species